rnacentral:rRNA from 1 species
UUAUCCAGCAAUGGAUAACUGAGUGGCGAACGGGUGAGUAACACGUGGGUGACCUACCUUCGAGUGGGGGAUAACGUCCCGAAAGGGACGCUAAUACCGCAUAACAUCCUGCCUUUGAACAGGCGGAGAUCAAAGCCGGGGAUCGCAAGACCUGGCGCUUGAUGAGGGGCCCGCGUCUGAUUAGCUAGUUGGUGAGGUAACGGCCCACCAAGGCGACGAUCAGUAUCCGGCCUGAGAGGGCGGACGGACACACUGGGACUGAGACACGGCCCAGACUCCUACGGGAGGCAGCAGUGGGGAAUUGUUCACAAUGGGCGCAAGCCUGAUGACGCAACGCCGCGUGGAGGAUGAAGGUCUUCGGA